rnacentral:rRNA from 1 species
UACGUAGGUGGCAAGCGUUAUCCGGAUUUACUGGGUGUAAAGGGCGUGUAGGCGGGGACGCAAGUCAGAUGUGAAAACCACGGGCUCAACCUGUGGCCUGCAAUUGAAACUGUGUUUCUUGAGUACUGGAGAGGCAGACGGAAUUCCUAGUGUAGCGGUGAAAUGCGUAGAUAUUAGGAGGAACACCAGUGGCGAAGGCGGUCUGCUGGACAGCAACUGACGCUGAGGCGCGAAAGCGUGGGGAGCAAACAGG